AUUGAACGCUGGCGGCAGGCCUAACACAUGCAAGUCGAGCGAGCGGCGGACGGGUGAGUAAUGUAUGGGGAUCUGCCCGAAAGAGGGGGAUAACUAAUGGAAACGGUGGCCAAUACCGCAUACUAUCGGAUGAACCCAGAUGGGAUUAGCUGGUAGGUGGGGUAAAGGUUCACCUAGGCGACGAUCUCUAGCUGGUCUGAGAGGAUGAUCGGCCACACUGGGACUGAGACACGGCCCAGACUCCUACGGGAGGCAGCAGUGGGGAAUAUUGCGCAAUGGACGCAAGCCUGAUGCAGCCAUGCCGCGUGUGUGAAGAAGGCCUUCGGGUUGUAAAGUUCUUUCAGCGGAGAGGCGUUACCCACAGAGGAAGCACCGGCUAACUCCGUGCCAGCAGCCGCGGUAAUAC
rnacentral:rRNA from 1 species